GGCGCAAAUCAUAUAAAUUUCUAUUUCUACCAACAAUUUGCUAUCUCAAUAUUUUAAUAAUCUUUUCUUUUUCUUUAAUAACUUUUCGAAAACAACUUCAAGGGCAACGUUGCAAAACUAUAACAACUCAACCAAGAGUUUGUUGACAUGUUGAGUUCUUAUCGAUAAUACCCAAACGUCAAAUUUCAACUAAAGUUUUUACGGCAAAUAUUUUGAUUUGGGGAAAACCAUCCAAAUAACCGGUUUACUAUGUACUUCGUUCGUCCUAUUCAUUAAGUUAAAAUAAUGAACUAAGUAUUACUUUUCUCAAAAAUACAUUAAAAUAUACCAAGCGGAUUGAAUUUCCUCACAGAUGUUGAACAUUUCAGCAGGAAAUGUAUGAAAUUAUCAACUCCUUCGACCCACUGCAUUCAUCCAAUAAUUCAAUGCAACUAAUCAGCUUCAAAUAAUGCAAUCAUAUAAUGCAUCAGCAGCACGUUCCAUGGUGCAAAGCCUAGUCUGCCGAAUAUAAACAAUUACUCAUAAAUAGCGAAAAGAACGGUUGAAUUUAAAGUGAAAAAAUCGCCAACAUUGAAUACGACAGUUGUGCGCAUGCCUACGUUCGUACACCACCUAUAGCCCUAUAGCGAAAAUUAUUUGAAGGCUGGCCGAGAGGCGGGUAAUAGAGGCAGAACGGUAGGCCGGCUGGUUGGUUGGAUGACUGACUGGCGUAUAAACUGACAAACUGACUGGGCGAGUACUGUACGCACGCGCGCAUGAAUAUUCCUAUAACAUAUACGUAUGUAUAUACAAGCAUAUACUUGAUAUGUUUGUAUGCAUGUGUGAAGUCGCUCACCGUAUACGCCCAGUAGCGCUCGGACGACUGGUUACUUACCUACAACCAUUGCAUUGCAAAUAGUGCAUGCAGCCUGCUGAGGACGCACAUGGAACAACUUCUACACAUGCACAGAUCGCACAGAACAUAAUGAGCUAUGUUAAAUACAACAAUUCGAUUAAUACGGUACAUAAAGUAAGUACAGAAUUAGUGGAAUAAAAUUGAAAUCUACGUAAAUGUGCCGGAGAGCGGAAUUGCAA